rnacentral:lncRNA from 1 species
AUGCAUUGCCUGUUUCAGCACUAUUUGGGCAUGUACUACAGCAGCUGGAUGGUGGAAAAGAUUUUAUGCACUGUCCACUCCAAAUAUCAGCAGACAGUUGGACUGGAAGGGACCUCUGGGGACUGUCUGGAGCAGCACUCUCGUAUGAGCACAGUCUGUGCUGCUGCCGAGGAUGGCAGGCAGCAGCUCUGCAGUGCUGUGGCACACACGGAUGCAAAUGCAGCUGACAAUGAUGGAAACUGUUCUGGUGUCCUGCCUCUGCCUGUUCUCAGUGCAGCAGGGGCUGUGUUUAGGAAUGACUGAGUUAAAAGGUCAGAGCAAAUGAGCAUGGAAAGACCCUUCACAUGAGCCUGGCAGUGCUGUCUCCAGUGCUUCUGUACGUGUAAAACACACGUGAAUGAGCAGGUUUUCCUUCACCAGUGUGGUGCUACAGCACAGGUCAUUACAGGUACCCACAGGUACCCAGUGAGCAGAAGCAUAAAUGUCACUGGAGACAAGGAAGAAUGUAUUUGGAAGAAAAUGUUAUACUGAGAGAAGGUUGGAGAAGACAGGAGAAAAAAGGCUGCAGUUAGGAUGUGAGGCUAUUUAGAGUUUAAUUCUACCAGUGGCAAAAUUAGCGUUGAGUUUAACUGGACUGGGAGCAAAUGUAAAAGGACAAAAAUCCAGGAAAAGGAGAAAUAAGGUCCUAGAGAGAGAAAAUGGACAUCUGCUCUUGGAGGGCCUAGCACUUGAAAAGCCUGGGCAUGUCUGUGUGCUUGGUGAUGGCAGGCAGGGUGUAGGCGUGCUGAGCCUACGCUAUUUUUUUAGCUUUCAUGCUAUAGAACAUAAUUUGUUUAUUUAGAAAAGCAUAUUUUUGCCCCAGACAGAGUCAUUUCCCGUGAAAAGCAAAAGUGCUCUUGCUGGAGGACUUCUGGGUAUUAUGAAAUAUGAGAACACCAAGAAAAGUUGCAGAAAGUUUUUGAAAACAUAUGGGAAUCCUUCCCUCCAUUUCUUUCAUCAACAAGAGUCCCACCCAUAAUUCCAAUGUGAUGGUAGAGCAGAGUAAGGUAAUUCAGGUUUGGAGUAUGUUCACAUCCUGAGCACUGCUUUACGAUGCACAAUAUGGAUUAUAAGAAGAGGAAACUCAUGGGUGUUCUUUUUCUCCACACAUUAAACACAUCAGACUGGCUAGAAGCUAUCACAUUAACACAUAUCUCAAAACUGAGAAACAGGCUUUUAUGGAAGGUUUAUUAAUAAAAGUGGGCUUGUGAUCA